AUUGAACGCUGGCGGCAUGCUUUACACAUGCAAGUCGAACGGUAACAGGGAGCUUGCUCCGCUGACGAGUGGCGAACGGGUGAGUAAUAUAUCGGAACGUACCCAGAAGUGGGGGAUAACGUAGCGAAAGUUACGCUAAUACCGCAUACGAUCCACGGAUGAAAGUAGGGGACCUUCGGGCCUUAUGCUUUUGGAGCGGCCGAUAUCUGACUAGCUAGUUGGUGAGGUAAAGGCUCACCAAGGCGACGAUCAGUAGCUGGUCUGAGAGGACGACCAGCCACACUGGAACUGAGACACGGUCCAGACUCCUACGGGAGGCAGCAGUGGGGAAUUUUGGACAAUGGGCGCAAGCCUGAUCCAGCAAUGCCGCGUGAGUGAAGAAGGCCUUCGGGUUGUAAAGCUCUUUUGUCAGGGAAGAAACGGUAGAGGCUAAUAUCCUUUGCUAAUGACGGUACCUGAAGAAUAAGCACCGGCUAACUACGUGCCAGCAGCCGCAGUAAGAC
rnacentral:rRNA from 1 species